rnacentral:lncRNA from 1 species
ACAGAGUUUUAAUUAUUUGUAAAGACUUCAAUUGUUCACUAAUGUCAUGGAUUGGUCCUCACAGUGUGAAGUGCAACUGCCCAGAUCCCCCACAGUAUUAUAAAUAGUCUUCUAAAGCCGGGUUGAUUGAUGUUUGGCAUAAAACUCUAUUCCUCUGAGCACAUAUAUUCCUUCUGUUCACUAUUUUCAUAGAAAAAUACCAGGGCUGAUUUUUUAUUCAAAUCUCCAAUUUAUGCAGGGUUUAAACUACUAAAUACUUAAAGCCGUUUUCAGAUCUUUCCCCCCUUUUCUGUUAGGUAGGUAACUAAAUCUUUGGCUUCAAUGCAAAUAAGAAUUGGAGAUUUAGCAGAUUCCUGUGGGGGAGAGGAAGAGUUUAUUAAUUAUAUUGAGAAUCAAAUAAUAUGCUUCUUUGACACUAAUGUUCCAUCUUUCUCCACCCCAAGUAUCCUAUGGGACAACUUUAAAGCCUUUAUCAGGGUCUAAAUUACUGCAUUUAUGGUUCCUUAGAAGUAGGAAUUUAAUGAAUGGCAUUCUGAGUUGAAGAGAGAAUUUGAAGGUUUAAGCUGCAACGGUGAAGCAAUUUUUUUCAAAGUAUGUGGCAGGGAUUGUAAUAUAAAACAUCAAAAAAAGCACAAUAAAAUACAUUUUCAUGAGUGUUAAUAAAUUUUUAAUACUGAUGAAAUGUAAAUUUUUCCUUCAUGACCCUUAUCUGCAUUUGACAGAGUCCAACAGAAAAUUUUAAGUACCUGUUUAAAGCAAUUUACAAGAUACUGUGGAGAUUCCCAGCAAUAAAGAAUGUACUAUAGUUAAGCUGGAAUCCAACUCCUGAAUUUCUGGAGCCCUGAAGACCACUUAGUCUUACUCACAAGAAUUGAAUGGAAUGUGAAUCUACACUCAGGUGAAGCCAGGGUAUUUUGAACGUCCCUACAAGACUGAAGCACCACUGGGAAAUAAGUAAUAGAGAUGCCAUCAUUGUGGAGGUCAUAAUGCUUGUCCUGAACACGAGGGGUCUCUAGUGUGGGGGAAACAAGCUUAACAGAGGAUUGAAAGCUGAUGCCUCCAAACUGUAAGGAGAAGUUUGUGAAGCCUAG